rnacentral:rRNA from 1 species
AGCGAACGCUGGCGGCAGGCCUAACACAUGCAAGUCGAACGAACUCUUCGGAGUUAGUGGCGGACGGGUGAGUAACACGUGGGAACGUGCCUUUUGGUUCGGAAUAACUCAGGGAAACUUGUGCUAAUACCGAAUGUGCCCUUCGGGGGAAAGAUUUAUCGCCAUUAGAGCGGCCCGCGUCUGAUUAGCUAGUUGGUGAGGUAACGGCUCACCAAGGCGACGAUCAGUAGCUGGUCUGAGAGGAUGACCAGCCACACUGGGACUGAGACACGGCCCAGACUCCACGGGAGGCAGCAGUGGGGAAUCUUGCGCAAUGGGCGAAAGCCUGACGCAGCCAUGCCGCGUGAAUGAUGAAGGUCUUAGGAUUGUAAAAUUCUUUCACCGGGGACGAUAAUGACGGUACCCGGAGAAGAAGCCCCGGCUAACUUCGUG